AUUGAACGCUAGCGGCAGGCUUUACACAUGCAAGUCGAACGAGCGGCGGACGGGUGAGGACUGUAAAGGGACUGGCAGAUAGAGGGGGAUAACUACAAGAGACGGUAGCUAAUACCGCACACUAUCGGAUUACGCAUAUGGGGUUCGAUAGUAGGUGAGGUAAUGGCUCACCUAGGCGACGAUCCCUAUCUGGUCUGAGAGGAUGAUCAGCCACACUGGGACUGAGACACGGCCCAGCCUCCUACGGAGGCAGCAGUGGGGAAUAUUGCACAAUGGGGGAAAUCCUGAUGCAGCCAUGCCGCGUGUAUGAAGAAGGCCCUCGGGUUGUAAAGUACUUUCAGUCGGGAGGCGUUACCGACAGAAGAAGCACCGGCUAACUUCGUGCCAGCAGCCGCGGUAAUAC
rnacentral:rRNA from 1 species